UAUUUAAUAAAAGAAAUUACAUGAACAUCACACGAAUUAAAAAAAAAAGAGUUGGAAAUGGGAUUAGAAAAGAGAAUAUUUUAAGAUGAUUAAAACAAGAAAUUCGAGCUUAAUUAAUCUGUGUAAAUUCAUUAAAAUGGUUGCAAAAGCACACAAUACAGGAGAAUCCAGAAGCAGCUGAUAGAAAGCAACUGAUGAAAAAAUUCUGGAUGAACUGGGGAUGAUCCCGCCUUCUCACGAGUACAACAAAGUAAGAUAAUAAUUCCAAGUAGACAUUAUUAUUUCACAUGUUUCUCCCGUUAGAUCCUGUAAGUCUACAAGUGGGCCUGUGAGAUGAUAAUAAAUCUUCAUGUGCAUGAUACUACCCUUUCAUGCACAGGAUUUUCGGUUUCAUGUCUUGAAUGCGGGGGAAUUUAUUUGGCAAUAUAAUAGCAGUUAUAUUUUAAAAUAUAUAUUUUUAAUAUUAAUAUAUUAAAAUGAUUUGAAAAUAUUUUUUAAAAAUAAUUUAAAGUAAAAGAAAAUAAUUAUUUUAAUUAUUUUCAAAAACAAUUUAAAACAAAAACAAAGGAAAUGUAUCUUUUGUUGAGAUGUAUUAUUGAAGAAGCAUGGUCGCGUUUUCUAGUUCACACGUUUAUCCGUUAAAAUCCCGUGUGAUUUUCAGCCAUUGAAUUAUAUAAAAUCAAUCAAGUCGGCAUCACCAACCAACCAUACAUCGAAACGUUGCCACUUUAGAAGUCGGCCUCGUACAACUUCAACCAAUAAGUAGCUGUCAUGGUUUUGAUUGGUAGCGAGGACAUUGACUUGUAGUUGGCAGGGGAGGAGGCAGGGGUGGCUGGCAGGGCCCCGGCCCCUCCUUGCUCAGCCAAGGAUGACAACUGCCUUUAAAACUGCUAUUUAAUAAUAAUGAGACUAUAAAAUGUUAGAGAGAACCGAGAGAGGAUAACGGGUCCAUCCAUCCCGUUUUCAUGAUGCCUGCAAAAAAUAAAUAUCCAUCUCGACUAAAAUCUAAGAUAUUUCGUUAAAGAUUUUGUUCAAUCCUCUUGCCAAGUAAGGUCAAAAACCCCCAUUUCGGAUGCCCUCGAUCCAAAGGGCACGAGACACCACUCCACGAUAAUGAUGAUAAUAAUAAUAAUAAUAAUGGAAACACAAAAAUUUACAACUUGCCAUAAAACUUAUUACAUUAUUGUUCCCUCGAACACUGCGAAUUGGAUGGAUUUUUUUUUUGUGAUGUAAAAAAAAUAUCUAAGUAUUAUUAGCAUACUUUUUAAUAAAAAAACUAAUUAUGAAUUUAAAAUAUUGAUAUGAUAUCAUAUUUGUUGAUGAUGAUAUUUUUUAAAAAAAUAUUGAGAAGAUAACAUAUUGUAUCGACUUAGGUUAAUUGGUUAAUUCUGCGACUCGGAUCAUAAGACGGAUAUAAUUCUAUAAAAAAAUUUAAAAUAAAUUAUGAAAACCAAUUUAUACAGAGUCAUGCCGGAUUAACCUGUUAAACCAGCAACCAUCACUCAAUCAACAUGUCACGACCAAUUUUAAGAGAUCAGCCCAAUCCAUGACCCAAUCUAAGGUUCCGGUCACAUGUGACGUCGAGCAUAUUAACUAGUAAGAGCAUGUAAAAAGAAAAAUAAUGCUAAACUAUUUUUUAAAAACAAAAACGACACCGUGUUUGGAAAUUUUGUUUUUUUAACAUGAAAUGGCUUGAUUUUGAAAAAAAAAAUAUAAAAAAAUAAAAAUAAAAAUGACAACGCUUUUUGUAGAAAAAAAUACUUGAGGUUCACUCCGGUGGACUCACUAAAUCAUUUGAGUUUUUCCGAGUUAACUCAUCAAAUCAUCUAGAUUUAUCCUAAUCAACGGGUUAGAUCUUCUAAGUUUUUCCUAGUCAACUAUAUGACCGGUCUAAAAAAAACCUCAUCUAGUCUUGGCCUCAGGGCAUGGAGUCACUCAAUCAACUUGCCAGGCCGAGCCCCUAUAACACAGUGGUUAUUACCCUUCAAAUCUGACCCAUUGAAUAUUUUCCACGACAAGAAUCUUGGCGAUUAGAUGAUGACACAUUAGUGAAUGAUAGCGCUGAUAUAUAAUUCGAUAAAGUAGCAUCUAGAAAUCCAAUUGAUCUCAUGGCACUCUAUCAUUGGCUUAUAAAUAGAGGCCGAGAGGUAGCCAAAAGUCUCAGCUUUGCAUUGUAACAGAUUGCUCCAUCUUAUAUUAAUCGAAGGAAGGUACUGAAGAGAGAUCCAACAUGAAGAUAAAGAGUCUUGUUUGGUAGCCAAGGAUGACUUGCCUGUAGCCUCCCUCGGAUUCAUGAACACGAGCAUUUAUGUGGUGCUCAAAAGAAAAGGAGAGAAUGAUCCCAGCUGGCAGCGACAAGGUCAAUCCAUUGAAGUAGCGAGAAGCAGGUGAUUUAUAGCUAGAAUCCACAAGAGGUUCCCAGCAAGUGUCCUUGGCUAACGAGACGGGCUCUUAUCUUUCAUGCUGGAUCUGCUCUUCGUGUGCUCUGCUGGGCAAGUUUUUGAUCAGAAGUCACUUUGGAAGAGACGAUCCAGCUAGCUUCCAAGAGCAAUAUACACAGGUUCUUCCAUCACGCAUCGAGUCCUUCGUUAAUGUCGUCUGCUGAGGUAUCUGUAUUUUGUAUAUAUACACAUGCAAUCGCUUCUUGCACGUAUGCUAAUUGUAAAAGGGUUAAACAAUACUAUUUAUUUGUAAGUUCACCGAAUAAUCAGAAAUGAUGCAUAUCCAUAACAGGAACAUGAUGCAUAUCUAGCUACAAUGCAAUGUCCUCACAGAACAUGAGCAUCAACUGUUUUAUAUUUAAUGCUUAUCCUAUGGUAGGGCAAGAGAUCUCAAAUAUGCUAAGAAGGAGUUUCAAAUAUAGAUAUGUGAGCACGCGUUGUUUAUUCACUACAAAUAAAAAAUUAUUUAAAUAGCUGCUAA